GAUGAACGCUGGCGGCGUGCUUAACACAUGCAAGUCGAACGGAAAGGCCGAACCUUGCUUCGGUACUCGAGUGGCGAACGGGUGAGUAACACGUGGGUGAUCUGCCCUUUACUUCGGGAUAAGCUUGGGAAACUGGGUCUAAUACCGGAUAUGACUCUCUCUUGGAUGGGGUUGUGGAAAGCUUUUGCGGUAUGGGAUGAGCUCGCGGGCUAUCAGCUUGUUGGGGGGGUAAUGGCCUACCAAGGCGUCGACGGGUAGCCGGCGUGAGAGGGUGUACGGCCACAUUGGGACAGAGAUACGGCCCAGACUCCUACGGGAGGCAGUAGUGGGGAAUAUUGCACAAUGGGCGCGAGCCUGAUGCAGCGACGCCGCGUGGGGGAUGACGGCCUUCGGGUUGUAAACUCCUUUCGCAAUCGACGAAGCCUUUUGGUGACGGUAGGUGGAGAAGAAGCACCGGCUAACUACGUG
rnacentral:rRNA from 1 species